rnacentral:rRNA from 1 species
UACGGGGGGGGGCAAGCGUUGUUCGGAAUUACUGGGCGUAAAGGGCUCGUAGGCGGCCAACUAAGUCAGACGUGAAAUCCCUCGGCUUAACCGGGGAACUGCAUCUGAUACUGGAUGGCUUGAGUUCGGGAGAGGGAUGCGGAAUUCCAGGUGUAGCGGUGAAAUGCGUAGAUAUCUGGAGGAACACCGGUGGCGAAGGCGGCAUCCUGGACUGGUCCUGACACUCAGGAGCGAAAGCGUGGGGAGCGAACAGG